UACAGAGGUCUCGAGCGUUGUUCGGAUUCAUUGGGCGUAAAGGUGCGUAGGUGGCGCUGUAAGUCGGGUGUGAAAUCCUGAGGCUUACCUCGGAACUGCAUCGAUACUGCGGCGCUUGAGGACUGGAGAGGAGACUGAAUUCAUGGUGUAGCAGUGAAAUGCGUAGAGAUCGUGAGGAAGACCAGUGCGAAGGCGGUCUCUGGACAGUUCCUGACACUGAGGCACGAAGGCCAGGGAGCAAACGG
rnacentral:rRNA from 1 species